CUGCAAAACGACCCCAGAACAUUGUCACUGAAAAUCAAGCCCCUAUGACAGAUGAGAGGGAAGGUCACUUGCCCAGAGUCACAAGGCACAGGUUUGACCCAGGUCUGUCUCAGAAAAUGCUUGGGCUUGGCUGACCUCUGUGGAAGCUCAUUGCAGCCAAGACGGGGAUACUUGGGAGGUCUGGGGGCUGGAGGAGGCCUGGGUCACAAAGACCGUUGCCAGCGAGGACACACAGCUCACCCUUUGGGAUAAUGAGGCCAUUGGCAAGCAGGAAGAAGAGAUGGCCAGGGAGGGGGAGGUAAAGAGAGCCGGGUGAACCAGGGCAGGCGGCUGUG
rnacentral:lncRNA from 1 species